ACACGCAAUAAAUAAAAACGCCUAUUUCAUGCAAUUUGAAUGGAAGGGCAGAGCUAUAUAUUGUACAUAUGUAUAUAUGCAUAUAUUGUACAAGUAUAACAUAGUACAAGUAUUCAUAGUAUAUGAAUGACGUGCAUACAGUACUACCCUAUUACACUUGCUACCGUUUUGUACGACUAUUUUACUCCGUAGAGAUUGUUUGUUCGUCUAUUUAUUUUGCUACUCCUCUUGAAAGUUUCUAACAAGACAUGGAGCCCAUGGCAAGCACUUUUUUCCUCUUUGCGACAUCGAACAAUACGAUCCUGCCUGCUGCAGCCCCCCACCCCUCUUUAUCUGAAGCGGAGUCUACUACAGAUUCAGCCUCAAAUCCGACAGUAACAAGUCAUUACCAGUUUAAAGCGCUUUCGGCCUGAUAACUAAUAUACAUCUGUAUGUACAUACGAGCAUGUGGAUAUGUAUAAGAUUUACAUACUUAUAUAAGCACAUUCGAUCGGCUCUCAUGAGCUGUGACCAUUACUAUACAUAUUGUUAUUGAUGCAUUUUAUAUCGAUUCUCAUUUGCCAUUCUAUCAGAAUUUGAAUUUGAACAGUGGAAUUCGGGAGCUUAAUAUACUCGUAGAAUAAGUCCAAGCAAAAGCCUAUUGUACGUUAUGAUUGACUGUUCUAAGAAAUUAACUAAACGUAUUGGAUCCAUAGUUUAAUAUUCUCUGAUCAAUUCCUUUUUUAACAAAGUUAAAUGAAUGAUAAUAUAUUUUGUGUGACGAAUGAUAACUUUUAGUGUUUGCCAAAAUGUUGCUCUUGACCAACCAACUUAGAAUACCCUUAUUGAUAGCUAUUCUACAUCUUAGAAAGUUCUUAUGGAGACACAUAAAUUACUCAAAGUCAUAUUUAAUAAGUCAAAUAAAGAAAUGCAUUUUAAUGUAUCUGUUAUAUGAAAAGUCUAGUGCGGGCUCGAAAUGUUUUGUUUGUAUGACUGAUCUUUCGUCAGCUAAUCGUUUGUUUAUCAUGACACAAUCCCAAGCAAAUAAACAGGUAGCACAGAGAAAUUAAUAUAGCCCAUAAAACAUCUCAAACAAGCGGAAAAAAUAGGUGGUGAGAGCUGCUAAGUGAAAAACUUACAAUCAUUUUGGAAAAUUUACAAUAUGUGCACUUUUUCUAACACAUAACCGUAUGUACUCGUUCGAGAAUUAUUUCCGAGCGAUAUAGCCAUGUCCAUCCGUCCGUCUUGUUUGACGCCAGGUUCUCAGGGACAAUUCUCUAUCUCACUUACCCACACACUCCUUCGAGAUAUGACCGCCAGCUGGUAGUUCGAUGGUGUAUAGAGAGCGAAAUUUGUUUCUUUAUUCGGAAUUAUUUCAAGAAUUAUAACAUAACUAGGGCUCGCUCUCUCUGUUUCCCGCGUAACCGUUGUGUCUUCUCCCAAGUGGAAGAAGAAUAUAUAGAAAUGGGCGGUCUGCUUUGCCCGUUCUACCAAAAUCAUUGAUAGCAAUAACAUUUUCAUGAUCUUUUAUUGUUGUUUAAGUUCAUUGGAGUAUUUUCAUUCUCAGUCAUCCUAUGCCGUGAUAUUUAUUAAAUUAAAACACAUAUGUUUAAACAGGCGCUUAGCCGUAGUUCAUCACCACCAAAUAUUCGAAUUUAAUUAUGAACCCCAUCAGAUUAUUUCGAUAGUUUCUUGAAUCAAAAACUGCUCCACAUGACAAAUGGACUCCCUGGCAGACCACGUGCAAAGGAAAACCAAAGUAAAUAAAUAGAUAAUUCGUGUGAAAGAAGCAGUGAACCCGAAUCUACACACAUCGUAAAUUGCCGCAGUUCAGGGUGCAGUUGGGGAAACACGGGGCAGUCAGCAGUGGAUACGUACGCCCCAUCACGCGCUGCUGAGAAUGAGUUCAGUCCAUGUGGCUGUGCAUGGCGCCGCAUUUGAGCUUCUGGCAAAUACUACAAGGGGAUUACUGGGCUAAGUUCCCAUUUCAGUUAUGGCUUAUCACCAACAAGGGGGAAGUAUAGCAAAAUAAAAAAGAAAAAAAAAAGAAUAAUAAAAGUUAGAAUCAUAAACGGAGAACGCGCCAUUGAAGCUGAGCAAACAGAGUAGAGCAACUGGCAGAUCAAGCCAUAAAAGAAGCAGCCAGAUAUCUUGUCACGGUUAUCAAUUCGCAUACACCUUGACAAAGACCACCAUACAGGUCUUGUACUGAUCCGUGCUCAAGUGGACCACCGCCUUGAGAUCGCCGACAAUGUCCACAGACGGCAUAUUGUUCACGAACAAAUGGUUGCUGAUAUUUCUGAGCUCUCAAGGAUUCUUGUCGCUUACUGACUUAUUUGGAGGACAUUUCAGCUGACUUUUAGGGAUUUCCCUGACCACAGGAUGCCACAACUCCCACGGAUCCAGGAGCGCCUGACAGAAGUUGUCCCUUUUUAUCGAUAAAGUUUUAUUUUAGAGCCUCUAGCUCCACGAGAACAGGGUGUAAGCAAAAGAACAUCAACAUUCACGCUACGUAGACGUCAGUGAGGUCAGCGAAGUCAGCGAAGUCACUCGCCCCUCGCCCGGAAGCAGGCUGAGCUCGGGCCUCAAUGCAACAAGUACCCGUAUAUCACGCGUGAGUCGUGUACGCCUGUGGGACAGCGGCAAUGACUACGCACUUGACCCUGGACAACUGACUGGAUGUUUGUCACUGCUUUGUUGGUUGUGGCUUUUUUGUAGGCCAUGGUGACUAUAAAACAUUAAAUCGGGUCGACACACGACGCCCGAUAACAGUGGGAAACUCUUCACGAUGGGAGAACAGAAUUCGCUGGGUCAUAAACGCCAACGAGACAACAGCCUCAAUACCAGCAAGAGCCGCAGCGCGUGGCAAGAUUCACUGGAUGGGUGUUCUGGCUUUGGCUCUGGCUAAUAUAUUUUUUCGGUGACCUUUGGAUAUCCCUGCGAUCAUAAAAUUAGAUCACCGUACAGCCGAAGUUUGAGCCACAGCCGGAUGUAGUCCUGAGCGGAAGACCUCUACUUGCUAACGGGAUAUGUGAUUUCAGAUAAGAUUAUUACAUAUUACAGCCUUGAAAAGAUAUUUAUAAGAUCUUUUUAAGAAUUCUAAAGUAAGCCAAAGUAAGCUCUACUAUAUUUCAACGCAUUAAUUGGCCAGGAUACAGGGGUCCCGAGGAAGCAGGCGCUGCGAGGAUGGAUCCGAAAAGCCGAUCGGGCCAAUCCAUCUCCGGAGGCCCCAAGGGCGAACCGGGGACUCGGGUGGUUACCAAGCAGAGCGAUAUCGCGACAUCUGUCUCAGAAUACCAGGAGAGAAGAUGCGGGGCCUUCAUCCUGCUAAAAACGAUCCAGUAUUUCUAUCGUCUACUAAAGGGAUCAAGCUAAGGCAAUGUGGCAAGACGAUCGUGCCAGAUUCCCCGCCAGUCACUGUCAGUGGGACACAAAUGAACGGAGUGAUGAAGACAUGGUUAUGGUUAUGAAGACAGAGGUUAUGGCAGAGUUCUCCCUGAGUCCCUUUCUAAGAAGGAAAUUUCACGGAAGGCCACAGUACGUCUCGUUAAAACAUUUACCGACGCCCGCAGGAAGACGCUCGAUAAACCCUGCCCUUCUAGUAAAGCCAGAGGUUGAAAGAAUCCUGAAUGGUCGACUCCGAAUCCAUCGAUCUCAGUAAAGUCUCGCGAAACUCUUCUAAAGAGCUAAAGCUCUGAAUGUUGAAUAGAACUGGACAGCCUAAGACAAAGAACACAGGACGUCAGCUCUGCAGCGAAAUCGAGAGCAACUCGGAAGUUUCGCGCCUGCGCGACCACCCACCCUGGGCUACCUGAAGAAAGCCGACCAGUCUUGACGAGCAUUUAGGUGUUAAGGCGUCUGAAAAGGAACUGGUACUCUUCACUAGGAAGUAAAAGAUUCCGACACUGACUCCCCCAAAACUCGGCGGGGAAAGCAGCGAUGCCAAAUAUCUUGGCCUGGCUUGGCUCUAAGUUGAGCUUAAAGGAUAGGGUACAGAAAGCCACAGAGGACUAUAUACCUGCAGAAAAACCAUCGGACUAAAAUGGGGAAUGACCGUAUAUAGUUCGGUGGAUCUACACUGCCAUCAUACGACCAAUUAUGGUCUACAGAGUGGUAGUGGUGGCCAGCUCUGGGCAGGAAACACUUUCUUCACAAUCUCAGUCGAGUUUAACGUAUGGUUGAACCAUAUGAAGUAACCUAAAGUACUUUAAAGUAACCUAAUUUAAUGGGCCAUACUAUCAAUGGCGAAGAACAGGAGAGCGUAUAAGGAGCGAAGCAUUAAAAAGGACGUAUUGUAUAUGUAUGUAGAUAUGUAAUUAAAUAUGUAAGUGCCUCCUUUAAUUCACCUGGAAAUGCUAUUGAUCUGAUCUUUCGUGCGAAGAUUCAGCUGGUUCGGACUUACAUAUCUAAUAGUGCAGCUUCGUGUACGUUCAAAUAAACAUUAAGUUCAUAAUAAACUUAUUUUUUGAAGGUUCCACAUACAUAUGUACAUAUGUAGUUACAAAUGUAUGUACACCACUUCUUAGCUAAAUAUGUAAACAUUUUAAAUUAGCUUGUUAUUUGGACCCAUCUUUGGGGCUUCUGACGAGAAUUGCAUUUGUUGUAGAUUACAUUUUCAUUUACAAGUCCUUUAAAUGUGUUUAGAAUAUAGCAAUAUGCAGUCAACUGAAUAGUUGACAAUUUUCAAAUGUAAAAUUGCUCCACCAAAU